AGGUGUCCGCUGCGAAAUGGGAUGCCAAGUGCCUAUGCCCGGCUUCCCCCCCGCCCAUCGAUGAUGGGUGCCCAUGGCAUAGGCACGCCCCGGUCGUCGGGCUCGGUUGUCGGUCGGCGGUCUCCGACCGUCGUUCCGAUCGUCGGUCCGGCGACCACGGUCGGGUGGGAUAGUAGUGCUUUGUUGAUAUUCUUCGAGGGGAGACGGUCGGUUCAUCUCAUAUUUUGAUUCUUCCAACGGGUAUUCGGAGGACAAAUCAUGAGCACGGCUUCGGUCGUGUGGGCGUGGUAGCGACGAAUACAGCGGUUGGGUCAGGAUUUGAGUUUUAACCUCUCGGGGGAGCGCAACACUGUCUUUACUUUCUCAUUCGGCCGUUGAUGGAGAUUAUUCAUUUUUCUCCGUCAUGUCCCGUCGGAAAUUUUGUCCCUUGGUCUGGUGGGAUAGUAGUGCUUUGUUGAUAUUCUUCGAUCGGUUCAUCUCAUAUUUAGAUUCUUCCAACGGGGUAUUCGGAGGGCAAAUCAUGAGCACGGCUUCGGUCGUGUGGGCGUGGUAGCGACGAAUACAGCGGUCGGGUCAAGAUUUGAGUUUUAACCUCUCGGGGGAGCGCAACACUGUCUUUACUUUCUCAUUUGGCCGUUGAUGGAGAUUAUUCAUUUUUCUCCGUCAUGUCCCGUCGGAAAUUUUGUCCCUUGGUCUGGUGGGAUAGUAGUGCUUUGUUGAUAUUCUUCGAUCGGUUCAUCUCAUAUUUAGAUUCUUCCAACGGGGUAUUCGGAGGGCAAAUCAUGAGCACGGCUUCGGUCGUGUGGGCGUGGUAGCGACGAAUACAGCGGUCGGGUCAAGAUUUGAGUUUUAACCUCUCGGGGGAGCGCAACACUGUCUUUACUUUCUCAUUUGGCCGCUAAAGAGAUUAUUCAUUAUGGUCCCUAUCAAAACAUCCCAAAAAAAUGCGGAAGAACUAGCAUGCUUCGGCUUGUGCUAACUUGAUGCAUCCUAAGGUUUGUUGCGGUGGGUUAGGCGUAAUGGAGAAUCGUUGGUUUUUGAAAUUUUUGUCCCUGUCCCUUUAAGGUUAUUGUCCCUCGGAUUGUGUGUUUCUUCACGUGAAGCGGUGCUGGUGUGGUCUUGCUUGAUGUUUCCGCAUGCUCAGCGGUUCUAGUAAUCGUUGGGUUGUGGUUCGUUCGGUUGGGUCGUCAUCAAGUGUACGCAACUCAUGUGUGAGUGGUGGUUGGAUGGCAUGGGUUUGCAAGCUCCUUGCUCAGCGCAACGAAUUGUAAGCUCUCCAUCCUUUUCAUAGUCUUCCCCAAGCAUUGUCAUUUGCCUUGUGGGUAAGAUCGGUAUCCCUGUGUUUUUUACCAAUUGAAUGGAAUUCGAUUGUUUUCAUUUCUCUAUUCGCGCAAGGUUCCCUUAGGGGUGUUGGGUGGACGAUAGGCUGACCUCGUGUUCCAGGUACAUCUCGCAUUUUUGUGCGGUUACCAUGGCCCAUGGGGUUAUGCUUGUUCUCUUGGAUUCGGAUCGUUAGUUGUGGGCGAGGGGUUACGACCUCCAUUCGUCCAAGCUAUUAUGCAUUUGUCAAUUGACACGAACGACUGCCGCACUCGUCUUGGCUUUUUAUAGUUGAAUGGCUGUACAAUGUCCAUGCGAGUGUCGGUGUCGUGAAGGAAUGC
rnacentral:misc_RNA from 1 species